rnacentral:tRNA from 1 species
GCCAGUAUAGUGGAUAUGACCCUCGGCUUGUAACCGAGUGGGUUCGGGUUUGAAACCUGAGUAAGGCA